UACGUAGGGGGCGAGCGUUUGUCCGGAUUUAUUGGGCGUAAAGAGCGUGUAGGCGGCCAGGUAGGUCUGCUGUGAAAACUCGAGGCUCAACCUCGAGACGUCGGCGGAAACCAUCUGGCUAGAGUCCGGAAGAGGAGAGUGGAAUUCCUGGUGUAGCGGUGAAAUGCGCAGAUAUCAGGAAGAACACCCGUGGCGAAGGCGGCUCUCUGGGACGGUACUGACGCUGAGACGCGAAAGCAUGGGGAGCGAACAGG
rnacentral:rRNA from 1 species